CUCACCGGUCUUCUUUGUUCGUCUGGUAGCAGAAUGUAGUGUAUCGGACGAAUCGCAGCCGCCGAUGAUGAUGAGAAGAGCAGAGGAAGAGUUAAGAGAGAUGGAGAAAGAGGAGAGUUGGGGAGGAAGAAGGGUUUGGAGAGGUUAGAGGCAGGUUGAGGGAGAUGAGGGCAUGAGAGAGAGAGAGGUAGGAGAAUUGGGGAGAAGGAAAAGCUAUAAUAUU
rnacentral:lncRNA from 1 species